rnacentral:rRNA from 1 species
UAUUAUUUUUGAUGUUAAUUAUUUAACCUGAGUAGUAAUAGAUAUGGUCUUGAAACUUAAAGAAUUUGGCAGUAUUUUAUUCUGUUCAGAGGAACCUGUUCUUUUAUCGAUAAUCCUCGUUGGACCUUACUUGAUUUAAUGAUUUGUAUACCGCCGUUUUAUUGAGGAUCUUUGUAGUGUUUUAAUUUUCUAGAUUUUAUUUGAAAUUAUUUCAGGUCAAGGUGCAAUUUAUGAUUAAGUAGAAAUGGGUUACGCUUGUAUUUAUUUUUGGAUUAUUAAAUGAAAUUUUAGUAUGAAAUUGGAUUUGAAUGUAAUUAUUAUUUUAGAUUGUACUAAUGAUUUAGUUUCUAGAGUGUGUACACAUCGCCCGUCGCUCUCGUUAUUUAUUCGAG